AUUGAACGCUAGCGGGAUGCCUUACACAUGCAAGUAGAACGGAGUGGCGAACGGGUGAGUAAUGUAUCGGAACGUGCCCAGUAGAGGGGGGUAACUACGCGAAAGCGUAGCUAAUCCCGCAUACGAUUGGAGAGGCGGAUAUCGGAUUAGCUAGUUGGUGGGGUAACGGCUCACCAAGGCGACUAACCGUAGCUGGUUUGGGGGGACGACCAGCCACACUGGGACUGAGACACGGCCCCGACUCCUACGUGAGGCAGCAGUGGGGAAUUUUGGACAAUGGGGGAAACCCUGAUCCAGCCAUCCCGCGUGUGCGAUGAAGGCCUUCGGGUUGUAAAGCACUUUUGGCAGGAAAGCGGUACCUGCAGAAUAAGCACCGGCUAACUACGUGCCAGCAGCCGCGGUAAUUC
rnacentral:rRNA from 1 species